UACGUAGGGGGCUAGCGUUGUCCGGAAUCAUUGGGCGUAAAGAGCGUGUAGGCGGCUCGGUAAGUCCGCUGUGAAAGUCCAGGGCUCAACCCUGGAAUGCCAGUGGAAACUGUCGAGCUAGAGUCCGGAAGAGGCGAGUGGAAUUCCUGGUGUAGCGGUGAAAUGCGCAGAUAUCAGGAAGAACUCCCGUGGCUAAGGCGGCUCUCUAGUACGGUACUGACGCUGAGACGCGAAAGCGUGGGGAGCGAACAGG
rnacentral:rRNA from 1 species